GGGCGUAUGGUCUAGUGGUAUGAUCUCUGUUUUGCAAAGCCCCAGCGGCUCUACAGAUACAGAUGGUCCCGCGUUCGAUCCGCGGUACGUCCA